rnacentral:rRNA from 1 species
GAUGAACGCUGGCGGCGUGCUUAACACAUGCAAGUCGAACGGAAAGGCCCAAGCUUGCUUGGGUACUCGAGUGGCGAACGGGUGAGUAACACGUGGGUGAUCUGCCCUGCACUUCGGGAUAAGCCUGGGAAACUGGGUCUAAUACCGGAUAGGACCACAUUUUGGAUGGUGUGGUGGAAAGUUUUUCGGUGUGGGAUGAGCUCGCGGCCUAUCAUCUUGUUGGUGGGGUAAUGGCCUACCAAGGCGUCGACGGGUAGCCGGCCUGCGAGGGUGUACGGGCACAAUGGGACUGGGAUACGGCCCAGACUCCUACGGGAGGCAGCAGUGGGGAAUAUUGCACAAUGGGCGCAAGCCUGAUGCAGCGACGCCGCGUGGGGGAGGACGGCCUUCGGGUUGUAAACUCCUUUCGCUAGGGACGAAGCGUUAUGUGACGGUACCUGGAGAAGAAGCACCGGCUAACUACGUG